rnacentral:rRNA from 1 species
UAGUCCACGCUGUAAACGAUGUCUACUUGGAGGUUGGUGUCUUGAACACUGGCUUUCGGAGCUAACGCGUUAAGUAGACCGCCUGGGGAGUACGGUCGCAAGAUUAAAACUCAAAUGAAUUGACGGGGGCCCGCACAAGCGGUGGAGCAUGUGGUUUAAUUCGAUGCAACGCGAAGAACCUUACCUACUCUUGACAUCCAGAGAAGCCAGCGGAGACGCAGGUGUGCCUUCGGGAGCUCUGAGACAGGUGCUGCAUGGCUGUCGUCAGCUCGUGUUGUGAAAUGUUGGGUUAAGUCCCGCAACGAGCGCAACCCUUAUCCUUGUUUGCCAGCGAGUAAUGUCGGGAACUCCAGGGAGACUGCCGGUGAUAAACCGGGAGGAAGGUGGGGACGACGUCAAGUCAUCAUGGGCCCUUACGAGUAGGGGCUACACACGUGCUACAAUGGGACAUACAGAGGGCAGCAAGACCGCGAGGUGGAGCGAAUCCCAGAAA